GACGAACGCUGGCGGCGUGCUUAACACAUGCAAGUCGAACGGAAAGGCCCUGCUUUUGUGGGGUGCUCGAGUGGCGAACGGGUGAGUAACACGUGAGUAACCUGCCCUUGACUUUGGGAUAACUUCAGGAAACUGGGGCUAAUACCGGAUAGGAGCUCCUGCUGCAUGGUGGGGGUUGGAAAGUUUCGGCGGUUGGGGAUGGACUCGCGGCUUAUCAGCUUGUUGGUGGGGUAGUGGCUUACCAAGGCUUUGACGGGUAGCCGGCCUGAGAGGGUGACCGGCCACAUUGCGACUGAGAUGCGGCCCAGACUCCUACGGGAGGCAGCAGUGGGGAAUAUUGCCAAAUGGGCGGAAGCCUGAUGCAGCAACGCCGCGUGCGGGAUGACGGCCUUCGGGUUGUAAACCGCUUUCGCCUGUGACGAAGUGUGAGUGACGGUAAUGGGUAAAGAAGCUCCGGCUAACUACGUG
rnacentral:rRNA from 1 species